rnacentral:lncRNA from 10 species
CUGCCCUCCGCGCAGCAUGGAGUCCCUGCGUCCCGGCUCCACGGUGCGGGAGUCCUCCGUGGUGGCUGAAUUCGCCUUUCAGGCCCUAUGUUCAGGAUUUGUGAUCUGGGUUUUAAAAACAUUUUUUAGAAGUCAUUGGUAAUUAAAAACAAUAAGUUUUUUAUUGUGGUAAAAUAGACAUACAGUUUACCGCAGGAAUCUUUUUUUAAGCGUACAGUUGGCUGACCCUGAGUGAAUUCGCUGUUGAUAAUCUGCUUCUCCCUGAGCUGCUGUCGCCCACACUCGCCGCUGGCCGUGCUUGUUUUUCUCCUGGAACUGGGGCCGGUGUCCCUGUUGACCUUGUCCCGGGUAGCUGAGCCCAGGGGACUCUCCUUCCUAGGGUUACCGCUCAGUAUCAGCACAGCCACAACGUCCAGCCAGGGAGGGCAUCCGAGGCCCUCAGCACCCACCCCGGGGGUCCGGCCCGCGUCAGGCUGCGAGUUCCCGAGUCCCUGGACCCAGCUGUGCCUGCUGGGGUCAGCGCAGUCUGUGAGCCUCGACCCCCAGCUCCCAGCAAGGCCUCCCAGCAAGGCCUGUCGGAACCCAGCGGAGACCGGCGGCUGGGGCUUGUCCUCGAGCGGGGGCGCAGGACACGGGGCGCGGGGCUCCUGCCCUUGCAGCGUCCUGUCAGGAUGGACGACCCAAGCCAGACGGCGCUCCCUCCCGCCACACCUGGCCGUACUGGCCUCCAGCCAUGCCGGUGCUGCCGAGGCCCCCGUGUGGGACAGGCCCCCGCUCCCGCCCGUCCUCCUGGCUGCAUCUGCACCCGCCCGUACCCGCACCGGGCCUCACUGGCCCCUUCUCAGACCGGCACAGCCAGCCUCCAGUUUCCUUUCUAUCCUGAGACGGGCACGGGCACCAGACACCCAGUGCGGCAGGAACCAGGGUGCAGACAGUGAUGGCGAUGGGGGGUUUCAAUUGUAAUUAUUUUCCCAGAGUUCUCUCUGGACCCCACUCAACCUUUGAUUUCCAGAAACGGGAAUCCAAGUCCAGGGUUUACCUCUGGGGCCCUGGGGACCACGUGGCUGCCUAGGAAACGCAGCCCAACAGCAGGCUAGCUCCGAGGCAGAAGCCUUUUCUCCAGGAAGGGCCGGCGAGGAGCCCGACAGCCAGCUCCACGGAGAAGGCCUCAGAGCGGGCAGGCCAGGAAUGCCCUCCCGCCCACCCUGGGAGACCGGCCCCUCCUCAGACCGUUUCUGGGAGGUCGAACACCUGUCCACUUUGAUUUUCCCUGACUUCGCAACAUCUGUUUACGAACGGUUUUGCCCAGCUCAUGACUUUUUUGGGGAGUUUUUGUACUAGAACUGUUGAACUUUGCUUAGGGACAUUACACAAGACGCAAACUGCAGGAGACGUUUGGGAGACACACGGCAGGCCUUGUCCGGAAUCUUUUCUGUUUACCGAAAGUUCAUUUGAUUUUCAUGGCCAGUUAACUUGAGGCCUAGGGACAGUGCCGGAUUGCAGCAGGGCAAGGACUAAACAUCUGGACCCUAGGAGAGGAGGAGCCCCCCGAAGCCCCGCCUGCCACGCCACCACCACUCAGCACCUGAGGAGCUCCAGAAGCUUCCAGAAGCUCCUGGCCAGCUUCACUCCAGAGACUGAUUUCAGUGGCCAGGCUGUGGCCUGGAUGCAGGCAUGCUAAAGCCCACAGGGGGUUCUAAGGGUGGCCACGGUGGGGGCCAACUGUGCCAGGUCAGGUCGCUGCCUGGUGAGCAGGUCACCUGCCCGGGGGAUGCCUGUGGCCCCCACCACACAAGCCUGAGCUGGGGUGGGGCCUGGCACCGUGCAGUUGAAGAGCACCUGGUUGUUUAAGUUAAUGUAAAAUGUCCGCCCCAAUGAGAAGCUUUCUGGACGUUUCCCUCCCAGGGAGUCUGCGGGUCAUAGGCAGUCACCGGGGAGGUGUCCAAUUCCCAAGAGGAACAAGAGAGACCAGGCCAAGUGGGGGGUCUUGGGGAGGCUGCGCCAACGUGUGGGCCCCUCCCGACGCCACGGGGCCUGCACAGGCUCCCAUCUGCCUCUGGGCGUGACCCAGAUGCAGGAAGGUAUCUGGGGAAAGGAAUGCCCAUGGCAGUCAUGGCACAGUAUCAUCCCUGGAGCCUCCAUCCUGCCCCCACAGACUAGAAUAUUCCCUGGAGGAAUCCCCAGCCUAGCUGGGAAGGGCGGAAGCUGGUGUUCCAGACAGACACUUCACCUUCCCACCUCAACAGGGCGGGAGAAGCCAGGGCAAGGCGGCAAUCGAGAGACAAACCAGGCCUUGAGUGGGAUCUCACUUUAAUGGAGAGGACGUUAUGACCUCCGGGGCAUGGCUCUUGGCCUUGGGCAAGCCCCUGGUUUUCAUGGACCUGUCGAUCC